GAUUAAGUUAUUAAGGGCGCACGGUGGAUGCCUUGGCACUAGAAGCCGAUGAAGGACGUUACUAACGACGAUAUGCUUUGGGGAGCUGUAAGUAAGCUUUGAUCCAGAGAUUUCCGAAUGGGGAAACCCAGCAUGAGUUAUGUCAUGUUAUCGAUAUGUGAAUACAUAGCAUAUCAGAAGGCACACCCGGAGAACUGAAACAUCUUAGUACCCGGAGGAAGAGAAAGAAAAUUCGAUUCCCUUAGUAGCGGCGAGCGAAACGGGAAGAGCCCAAACCAACAAGCUUGCUUGUUGGGGUUGUAGGACACUCUGUACGGAGUUACAAAGGACGACAUUAGACGAAUCAUCUGGAAAGAUGAAUCAAAGAAGGUAAUAAUCCUGUAGUCGAA
rnacentral:rRNA from 1 species